rnacentral:lncRNA from 1 species
UUGCUUCCAAUUGCUUCUACGGUGUGCUGGUGACGGGAGGGGAACAACCACCAUCUCUCUAUAUGUUUACCCAUUUACCAGGAAAUAUGUUUAUACUGUUUUCCAAUCAGGAUUUACCACAAGCCGGGAGUUCCACACCUAAUGACCAGGCCAAACCCAGCCCACUGUCAACAGAGAAAAGUCGGCCUCAAACAUGAGAGAUUUUAAAUCACAAUGGACGUUCGAGGAGCAUGACUGCCAGCACUGUGAGCAGCAGGGCUGUCUCCAGCCGUCGACAGGACCAAACAGUAUCUCGGAAGCAUCAGCGAACACGUGUGGACGGAAGGUGCAGCACCCCCGUGAACCGGCCUCGCCCCACCACGGCCUCUCCUUCCAGCAGUCCCUCGGCUCCCCCCAGCCCUGCUCCACGGUGCCCGCCCCCAGCCCAAGGUGCUCACGACUGCCCACAAGAACCCAAACUCAGCCAUCGGAAGGCUGGGCCGCGGGGCUCCGGAGCCUCCAGAGAUGACUCUGCCCCACAGGAUGCCGGCUUCAUCUUCCACAGCCCGCAGGCAGUUCCAGGCACCCCUUCUUGCUGGCAAAAUGGGAGUUCACAGGCCAGAGGAGCCAUCAGUCCUAACACAGCACAAAGAAGGAAACACGACCAUGAGAGAACGGAGAAGGGCCACCCUAGGCAGCCAGCCAAGGGGCCAAGAGGUAAAAAGAGUGGAAGUGGCGCGCCGUCGAGAUUCCCCAAAAGAAAAUAGAAAACCAUCUUGGACAACCAGCUAUAGCGCGUACCAACAAAUAAAAAGAAGACAUUCUGGAGUUCCCGCUGUGAC